rnacentral:rRNA from 1 species
UACGUAGGGGGCUAGCGUUGUCCGGAAUCAUUGGGCGUAAAGCGCGCUCAGGCGGUCCUUUAAGUCUGAUGUGAAAGCCCACGGCUCAACCGUGGAGGGUCAUUGGAAACUGGGGGACUUGAGUACAGAAGAGAAGAGUGGAAUUCCACGUGUAGCGGUGAAAUGCGUAGAGAUGUGGAGGAACACCAGUGGCGAAGGCGACUCUUUGGUCUGUAACUGACGCUGAGGCGCGAAAGCGUGGGGAGCAAACAGG